AGACCCGAAACCCGGUGAUCUAGCCAUGGGCAGGUUGAAGGUUGGGUAACACUAACUGGAGGACCGAACCGACUAAUGUUGAAAAAUUAGCGGAUGACCUGUGGCUGGGGGUGAAAGGCCAAUCAAACCGGGAGAUAGCUGGUUCUCCCCGAAAGCUAUUUAGGUAGCGCCUCGUGAAUUCAUCUCCGGGGGUAGAGCACUGUUUCGGCUAGGGGGCCAUCCCGGCUUACCAACCCGAUGCAAACUGCGAAUACCGGAGAAUGUUAUCACGGGAGACACACGGCGGGUGCUAACGUCCGUCGUGAAGAGGGAAACAACCCAGACCGCCAGCUAAGGUCCCAAAGUCAUGGUUAAGUGGGAAACGAUGUGGGAAGGCCCAGACAGCCAGGAUGUUGGCUUAGAAGCAGCCAUCAUUUAAAGAAAGCGUAAUAGCUCACUGGUCGAGUCGGCCUGCGCGGAAGAUGUAACGGGGCUAAACCAUGCACCGAAGCUGCGGCAGCGAACGUAUCACCCAAGACAACUUUACGGAGUUGACGAUUGACGGAGCGAAGCGACGUCAAAGCGUUCAUUAAAGUCGAGUUGGCUUAGGGAU
rnacentral:rRNA from 3 species